rnacentral:rRNA from 3 species
GGUUAAGCGACUAAGCGUACACGGUGGAUGCCCUGGCAGUCAGAGGCGAUGAAGGACGUGCUAAUCUGCGAUAAGCGUCGGUAAGGUGAUAUGAACCGUUAUAACCGGCGAUUUCCGAAUGGGGAAACCCAGUGUGUUUCGACACACUAUCAUUAACUGAAUCCAUAGGUUAAUGAGGCGAACCGGGGGAACUGAAACAUCUAAGUACCCCGAGGAAAAGAAAUCAACCGAGAUUCCCCCAGUAGCGGCGAGCGAACGGGGAGCAGCCCAGAGCCUGAAUCAGUGUGUGUGUUAGUGGAAGCGUCUGGAAAGGCGCGCGAUACAGGGUGACAGCCCCGUACACAAAAAUGCACAUGCUGUGAGCUCGAUGAGUAGGGCGGGACACGUGGUAUCCUGUCUGAAUAUGGGGGGACCAUCCUCCAAGGCUAAAUACUCCUGACUGACCGAUAGUGAACCAGUACCGUGAGGGAAAGGCGAAAAGAACCCCGGCGAGGGGAGUGAAAAAGAACCUGAAACCGUGUACGUACAAGCAGUGGGAGCACGCUUAGGCGUGUGACUGCGUACCUUUUGUAUAAUGGGUCAGCGACUUAUAUUCUGUAGCAAGGUUAACCGAAUAGGGGAGCCGAAGGGAAACCGAGUCUUAACUGGGCGUUAAGUUGCAGGGUAUAGACCCGAAACCCGGUGAUCUAGCCAUGGGCAGGUUGAAGGUUGGGUAACACUAACUGGAGGACCGAACCGACUAAUGUUGAAAAAUUAGCGGAUGACUUGUGGCUGGGGGUGAAAGGCCAAUCAAACCGGGAGAUAGCUGGUUCUCCCCGAAAGCUAUUUAGGUAGCGCCUCGUGAAUUCAUCUCCGGGGGUAGAGCACUGUUUCGGCAAGGGGGUCAUCCCGACUUACCAACCCGAUGCAAACUGCGAAUACCGGAGAAUGUUAUCACGGGAGACACACGGCGGGUGCUAACGUCCGUCGUGAAGAGGGAAACAACCCAGACCGCCAGCUAAGGUCCCAAAGUCAUGGUUAAGUGGGAAACGAUGUGGGAAGGCCCAGACAGCCAGGAUGUUGGCUUAGAAGCAGCCAUCAUUUAAAGAAAGCGUAAUAGCUCACUGGUCGAGUCGGCCUGCGCGGAAGAUGUAACGGGGCUAAACCAUGCACCGAAGCUGCGGCAGCGACGCUUAUGCGUUGUUGGGUAGGGGAGCGUUCUGUAAGCCUGCGAAGGUGUGCUGUGAGGCAUGCUGGAGGUAUCAGAAGUGCGAAUGCUGACAUAAGUAACGAUAAAGCGGGUGAAAAGCCCGCUCGCCGGAAGACCAAGGGUUCCUGUCCAACGUUAAUCGGGGCAGGGUGAGUCGACCCCUAAGGCGAGGCCGAAAGGCGUAGUCGAUGGGAAACAGGUUAAUAUUCCUGUACUUGGUGUUACUGCGAAGGGGGGACGGAGAAGGCUAUGUUGGCCGGGCGACGGUUGUCCCGGUUUAAGCGUGUAGGCUGGUUUUCCAGGCAAAUCCGGAAAAUCAAGGCUGAGGCGUGAUGACGAGGCACUACGGUGCUGAAGCAACAAAUGCCCUGCUUCCAGGAAAAGCCUCUAAGCAUCAGGUAACAUCAAAUCGUACCCCAAACCGACACAGGUGGUCAGGUAGAGAAUACCAAGGCGCUUGAGAGAACUCGGGUGAAGGAACUAGGCAAAAUGGUGCCGUAACUUCGGGAGAAGGCACGCUGAUAUGUAGGUGAGGUCCCUUGCGGAUGGAGCUGAAAUCAGUCGAAGAUACCAGCUGGCUGCAACUGUUUAUUAAAAACACAGCACUGUGCAAACACGAAAGUGGACGUAUACGGUGUGACGCCUGCCCGGUGCCGGAAGGUUAAUUGAUGGGGUUAGCGCAAGCGAAGCUCUUGAUCGAAGCCCCGGUAAACGGCGGCCGUAACUAUAACGGUCCUAAGGUAGCGAAAUUCCUUGUCGGGUAAGUUCCGACCUGCACGAAUGGCGUAAUGAUGGCCAGGCUGUCUCCACCCGAGACUCAGUGAAAUUGAACUCGCUGUGAAGAUGCAGUGUACCCGCGGCAAGACGGAAAGACCCCGUGAACCUUUACUAUAGCUUGACACUGAACAUUGAGCCUUGAUGUGUAGGAUAGGUGGGAGGCUUUGAAGUGUGGACGCCAGUCUGCAUGGAGCCGACCUUGAAAUACCACCCUUUAAUGUUUGAUGUUCUAACGUUGACCCGUAAUCCGGGUUGCGGACAGUGUCUGGUGGGUAGUUUGACUGGGGCGGUCUCCUCCUAAAGAGUAACGGAGGAGCACGAAGGUUGGCUAAUCCUGGUCGGACAUCAGGAGGUUAGUGCAAUGGCAUAAGCCAGCUUGACUGCGAGCGUGACGGCGCGAGCAGGUGCGAAAGCAGGUCAUAGUGAUCCGGUGGUUCUGAAUGGAAGGGCCAUCGCUCAACGGAUAAAAGGUACUCCGGGGAUAACAGGCUGAUACCGCCCAAGAGUUCAUAUCGACGGCGGUGUUUGGCACCUCGAUGUCGGCUCAUCACAUCCUGGGGCUGAAGUAGGUCCCAAGGGUAUGGCUGUUCGCCAUUUAAAGUGGUACGCGAGCUGGGUUUAGAACGUCGUGAGACAGUUCGGUCCCUAUCUGCCGUGGGCGCUGGAGAACUGAGGGGGGCUGCUCCUAGUACGAGAGGACCGGAGUGGACGCAUCACUGGUGUUCGGGUUGUCAUGCCAAUGGCACUGCCCGGUAGCUAAAUGCGGAAGAGAUAAGUGCUGAAAGCAUCUAAGCACGAAACUUGCCCCGAGAUGAGUUCUCCCUGACCCUUUAAGGGUCCUGAAGGAACGUUGAAGACGACGACGUUGAUAGGCCGGGUGUGUAAGCGCAGCGAUGCGUUGAGCUAACCGGUACUAAUGAACCGUGAGGCUUAACCUU